CAGUCGCCGCGGGAAAACGGAGGGGGCUAGCGUUGUUCGGAAUUACUGGGCGUAAAGCGCACGAAGGCGGCUUGGUAAGUUAGAGGUGAAAGCCUGGAGCUCAACUCCAGAACUGCCUUUAAGACUGCCGAGCUAGCAGGUGAGAGAGGUAAGUGGAAUUCCGAGUGUAGAGGUGAAAUUCGUAGAUAUUCGGAAGAACACCAGUGGCGAAGGCGGCUUACUGGCUCAUACUGGACGCUGAGGUGCGAAAGCGUGGGGAGCAAACAGGAUUAGAUACCCGGGUAGUCCCUGUCUCUUAUAC
rnacentral:rRNA from 1 species